UGACUGAUGAAGGUCUUAGGAUUGUAAAAUUCUUUCACCGGGGACGAUAAUGACGGUACCCGGAGAAGAAGCCCCGGCUAACUUCGUGCCAGCAGCCGCGGUAAUACGAAGGGGGCUAGCGUUGCUCGGAAUUACUGGGCGUAAAGGGAGCGUAGGCGGAUAGUUUAGUCAGAGGUGAAAGCCCAGGGCUCAACCUUGGAAUUGCCUUUGAUACUGGCUAUCUUGAGUACGGAAGAGGUAUGUGGAACUCCGAGUGUAGAGGUGAAAUUCGUAGAUAUUCGGAAGAACACCAGUGGCGAAGGCGACAUACUGGUCCGUUACUGACGCUGAGGCUCGAAAGCGUGGGGAGCGAACAGGAUUAGAUACCCUGGUAGUCCACGCCGUAAACGUUGGGCGCUAGGUGUGGGAUCCUUCCACGGAUUCCGUGCCGCAGCUAACGCAUUAAGCGCCCCGCCUGGGGAGUACGGCCGCAAGGCUAAAACUCAAAGGAAUUGACG
rnacentral:rRNA from 1 species